rnacentral:rRNA from 1 species
UACGUAGGGUGCAAGCGUUGUCCGGAAUUAUUGGGCGUAAAGAGCUCGUAGGCGGUCUGUCGCGUCUGCUGUGAAAACUCGGGGCUUAACCCCGGGCCUGCAGUGGGUACGGGCAGACUAGAGUGCGGUAGGGGAGACUGGAAUUCCUGGUGUAGCGGUGAAAUGCGCAGAUAUCGGGAGGAACACCUAUGGCGAAGGCGGCGAUCUGGGAAGAUACUGACGCUGAGGUGCGAAAGCGUGGGGGAGCAAACAGG